rnacentral:rRNA from 1 species
UACGGGGGGAGCAAGCGUUGUUCGGAUUUACUGGGCGUAAAGGGCGCGUAGGCGGCCACCGCAAGUCGGUUGUGAAAUCUCUGGGCUUAACCCAGAAAGGUCAACCGAUACUGCGGGGCUAGAGUGCAGAAGGGGCAACUGGAAUUCUCGGUGUAGCGGUGAAAUGCGUAGAUAUCGAGAGGAACACCUGCGGCGAAGGCGGGUUGCUGGGCUGACACUGACGCUGAGAUGCGAAAGUGUGGGGAGCAAACGGG